UACGUAGGGUGCGAAGUCGAUUGAAUCGAAUACUGGGCGUAAAGCGUGCGCAGGCGGUGAUGUAAGACCGAUGUGAAAUCCCCGGGCUUAACCUGGGAACUGCAUUGGUGACUGCAUUGCUGGAGUAUGGCAGAGGGGGGUGGAAUUCCACGUGUAGCAGUGAAAUGCGUAGAGAUGUGGAGGAACACCGAUGGCGAAGGCAGCCCCCGGGCCAAUACUGACGCCUCAUGCACGAAAGCGUGGGGAGCAAACAGGAUAGAAAC
rnacentral:rRNA from 1 species